rnacentral:rRNA from 1 species
CUGGCUCACGAUGAACGCCGGCGGUGUGCCAAAUACAUGCAAGUCGUACGCACUGGCCCAACUGAUUGAUGGUGCUUGCACCUGAUUGACGAUGGAUCACCAGUGAGUGGCGGACGGGUGAGUAACACGUAGGUAACCUGCCCCGGAGCGGGGGAUAACAUUUGGAAACAGAUGCUAAUACCGCAUAACAACAAAAGCUGCAUGGCUUUUGUUUGAAAGAUGGCUUUGGCUAUCACUCUGGGAUGGACCUGCGGUGCAUUAGCUAGUUGGUAAGGUAACGGCUUACCAAGGCGAUGAUGCAUAGCCGAGUUGAGAGACUGAUCGGCCACAAUGGAACUGAGACACGGUCCAUACUCCUACGGGAGGCAGCAGUAGGGAAUCUUCCACAAUGGGCGCAAGCCUGAUGGAGCAACACCGCGUGAGUGAAGAAGGGUUUCGGCUCGUAAAGCUCUGUUGUUGGAGAAGAACGUGCGUGAGAGUAACUGUUCACGCAGUGACGGUAUCCAACCAGAAAGUCACGGCUAACUACGUGCCAGCAGCCGCGGUAAUACGUAGGUGGCAAGCGUUAUCCGGAUUUAUUGGGCGUAAAGCGAGCGCAGGCGGUUGCUUAGGUCUGAUGUGAAAGCCUUCGGCUUAACCGAAGAAGUGCAUCGGAAACCGGGCGACUUGAGUGCAGAAGAGGACAGUGGAACUCCAUGUGUAGCGGUGGAAUGCGUAGAUAUAUGGAAGAACACCAGUGGCGAAGGCGGCUGUCUGGUCUGCAACUGACGCUGAGGCUCGAAAGCAUGGGUAGCGAACAGGAUUAGAUACCCUGGUAGUCCAUGCCGUAAACGAUGAGUGCUAGGUGUUGGAGGGUUUCCGCCCUUCAGUGCCGGAGCUAACGCAUUAAGCACUCCGCCUGGGGAGUACGACCGCAAGGUUGAAACUCAAAGGAAUUGACGGGGGCCCGCACAAGCGGUGGAGCAUGUGGUUUAAUUCGAAGCUACGCGAAGAACCUUACCAGGUCUUGACAUCUUGCGCUAACCUUAGAGAUAAGGCGUUCCCUUCGGGGACGCAAUGACAGGUGGUGCAUGGUCGUCGUCAGCUCGUGUCGUGAGAUGUUGGGUUAAGUCCCGCAACGAGCGCAACCCUUGUUACUAGUUGCCAGCAUUAAGUUGGGCACUCUAGUGAGACUGCCGGUGACAAACCGGAGGAAGGUGGGGACGACGUCAGAUCAUCAUGCCCCUUAUGACCUGGGCUACACACGUGCUACAAUGGACGGUACAACGAGUCGCAAGCUCGCGAGAGUAAGCUAAUCUCUUAAAGCCGUUCUCAGUUCGGACUGUAGGCUGCAACUCGCCUACACGAAGUCGGAAUCGCUAGUAAUCGCGGAUCAGCAUGCCGCGGUGAAUACGUUCCCGGGCCUUGUACACACCGCCCGUCACACCAUGGGAGUUUGUAACGCCCAAAGUCGGUGGCCUAACCUUUAUGGAGGGAGCCGCCUAAGGCGGGACAGAUGACUGGGGUGAAGUCGUAACAAGGU